rnacentral:rRNA from 1 species
GUGGGGAAUCUUAGACAAUGGGGGCAACCCUGAUCUAGCCAUGCCGCGUGAUCGAUGAAGGCCUUAGGGUUGUAAAGAUCUUUCAGCUGGGAAGAUAAUGACGGUACCAGCAGAAGAAGCCCCGGCUAACUCCGUGCCAGCAGCCGCGGUAAUACGGAGGGGGCUAGCGUUGUUCGGAAUUACUGGGCGUAAAGCGCACGUAGGCGGAUUGGAAAGUUGGGGGUGAAAUCCCGGGGCUCAACCCCGGAACUGCCUUCACAACUCCCAGUCUUGAGGUCGGGAGAGGUGAGUGGAAUUCCGAGUGUAGAGGUGAAAUUCGUAGAUAUUCGGAGGAACACCAGUGGCGAAGGCGGCUCACUGGCUCGAUACUGACGCUGAGGUGCGAAAGCGUGGGGAGCAAACAGGAUUAGAAACCCGAGUAGUCC